rnacentral:misc_RNA from 1 species
CUCCCUUCUUUCUAUGCUCUGCAAUAAUGCACUCGAGCAACUUCACCCCCUCAUCAUCUAAUGCAACAGAAGGCUCAUCCAGCAACCAAAUUGGCCGAUCAAUAGCCACCAACCGCGCCAGCUGCAGCCUCUUCCGCUGGCCCAUCGACAGCAUUCUCGCCUUCUCUUUUGCCAAUCUUCCAAGCCCCAUCAACUCAAGGGCGGGUAGAGAAUUCCCUUGCUUGCCUUCAAGAAUCUCAAACCAUUGAACAUUGUCAAGGACAGUAAACUUUUCUUUGAUAGCAUCUUUCAGGGAGAGCCAGUUGAGAUGAAGCUUAUACUGGUGGAAGACUCCAGAUUCUGUCACAUCAUGACCAUUCCAAAGGAUCUGACCAGC